AGAGUUUGAUCAUGGCUCAGGACGAACGCUGGCGGCGUGCCUAACACAUGCAAGUCGAACGGAGAUUUCAGCAAUGGAAUCUUAGUGGCGAACGGGUGAGUAACGCGUAGACAACCUACCUUCUAGCUGGGGACAACACUACGAAAGUGGUGCUAAUACCGAAUGUUGUAUUUUGAAUGCAUAUUUAAGAUACUAAAGGU
rnacentral:rRNA from 1 species